GGCGGCGUGCUUAACACAUGCAAGUCGAAGCGAAAGGGACUUCGGUCCUGAGUAAAGUGGCGCACGGGUGAGUAACGCGUGGAUAAUCUGCCCUAUGAUCGGGAUAACAGUUGGAAACGGCUGCUAAUACCGGAUACGCUCAAAAUGAACUUUUUGAGGAAAGAUGGCCUCUGCUUGCAUGCUAUCGCGUAAGGAUGAGUCCGCGUCCAUUAGCUUGUGCGGGUAACGGCCACCAAGGCAACGAUGGGUAGCCGAUUUGAGAGGACGAUCGGCCACACUGGAACUGAAACACGGUCCAGACUCCUACGGGAGGCAGCAGUGGGGAAUAUUGCGCAAUGGGCGAAAGCCUGACGCAGCGACGCCGCGUGAGGGAUGAAAGGUUUUCGGAUCGUAAACCUCUGUCAGAAGGGAAGAAACUACAUUGUGCUAAUCAGCAGUGUACUGACGGUACCUUCAAAGGAAGCACCGGCUAACUCCGUGCCAGCAGCGGC
rnacentral:rRNA from 1 species